rnacentral:rRNA from 1 species
AUUGAACGCUGGCGGCAUGCCUUACACAUGCAAGUCGAACGGUAACAGGUUAAGCUGACGAGUGGCGAACGGGUGAGUAAUAUAUCGGAACGUGCCCAGUCGUGGGGGAUAACGUAGCGAAAGCUACGCUAAUACCGCAUACGAACUACGGAUGAGAGCGGGGGAUCGCAAGACCUCGCGCGAUUGGAGCGGCCGCUAUCAGAUUAGGUUGUUGGUGAGGUAAAAGCUCACCAAGCCUGCGAUCUGUAGCUGGUCUGAGAGGACGACCAGCCACACUGGAACUGAGACACGGUCCAGACUCCUACGGGAGGCAGCAGUGGGGAAUUUUGGACAAUGGACGCAAGUCUGAUCCAGCAAUGCCGCGUGCAGGACGAAGGCCUUCGGGUUGUAAACUGCUUUUGUACGGAACGAAACGGUGAGCUCUAAUACAGUUUGCUAAUGACGGUACCGUAAGAAUAAGCACCGGCUAACUACGUGCCAGCCGCCGCAGUAA